GAAACAGGAACAACAACAAUCACACGCUCUUCGCAUCACCUAAUUGGAUCUUUUGUUCAAAGAGAUCAGCUUCACGAUUGGCAAGAUAGAGAGUAUGAAGAAAGUCUUCGAGUUGAUCAAGCGAGGAGAUUCUAAGACAACAGUGACGGGCUCGAGAGGAAGACUUCUUUUCAUCAUCUAUAAGACAGCGUGUCUCUGUUUUGCGGCCGUGGCUAAAGUCUGUUCGAAAAUUGGAGAGGACGUGGGAAAAAACGGGAUAUCCCUAGCACGUAGCUCUAGCGAGCUGAUACUUACACCAAUCGAAAGCUUGUGUUAAGGCGAUUUCAGAUUAGUUGCUUUCAAAGCAGAUUGGCUGUUCUGUACAAUAGAAUUAAACAAAGUAUGCGCGGCAUUAAUUAGUCUGUUCUAAACGUGCUAUUUGCACCAGU